ACCUGUCCCAAGGUUCCUGCUUUUCUCUACCCAAGGACCCCCGUUGUUCACAGGAUGUAUGAUUUCCUGCUGUUUGGUCUGUGCACCUCCUUUUUUCUGCCUGUUCCUGCCAUUUGGCCUACGUCCCCCUUUCUCUUCUCAUAUCUAGCUAUCUGCCUGCUCUAACAGUUCUUCAAUGGCAAUUCUGCUCAGUGGAGACAGUGGAGCAAUGGGUUUUUGAAUGUAUUAUAAGCUGUAACAGAUAUAUGUUAUUUUUGUUUGCCCAGCACCUUUCCCUCCUCUACAGGAAGAAGUAUGCCAGUUUUCCUCUGGGGAACUGGAUUACCUAUUUCCUGCCCAAGUGUCCAGGAGAGACUUCACAGCAUAAAAACUGUGACCCUGAUUUCCCAGAGCGUGGUGUUUGUUUUGUGGAAAGACACCUGACCUAAGUGGGCUGAUCAGAGAGCUGAGACAGUCUGUGUCCAGUGAGGAACACCUGAGUUUAACACAGAGGGAAUGAACUUGGGUGCGUGAUGUCAAUGAACCACUCAACCAACCCUGGACUGUCCUACCUCUGAGCUAGCUUUAAACUAUUUCAAGCUAAGAAACAGCCUGAUGACUUCAGGAAUAAGGUCCUGCACUUCAGUAAGUACUCAGUGAAUGUGUGAUGGUGGUAGAAGUUAGAUUUGAGAGAGGAGGAAGAGUGUGGGCUGGAUUUAUUAGGGAAGACCACAGAGAAGGUAGACCUUGAACAGGGAUUUAGGAUUGGAUAGAAUUUGGAUUGUUGGAAGAGAGAGCCUUCUACAAAGGCUA